GGAGAGAGGAGUGUUUGGAGGCUGCAGAGAUGUGUAGGCUGCAGUCACUCAUUGGGAAGAGGGUUUGGAGCUGGUACAUCUAGAGCAUGGAGGGGAACCAAGAGUUGUAGGAAGCAGUCCAGGGAAGGAGCAGUAAGGGCUGGGAGAGGAAAGCCCAGAACUGCUGGACUGGAACCCAGAGUACAUGGCAGGCCUGGGUACCCCUGCCAGUUACUGAAGGAGUGGCACCUGAGGCAGUGAAUGGGAAGAUGGGCUAGGACUGCUGAAGGAAAAACUUUGAUAUACCUUGAAAGGGAGGAACGCUGAGUGACCUGGCCAGAGGAAGGACGCUACAGUUCCUGGAGUAAGAGGGGGCUGCAGAUCAGAGAGACAAAGUGAUGGCAUGCAACCACAGGAAUGGGCAUUGCCCUAAUGAGCUAAUCCCCACAGUGGCCUGGAGGAGGCACCAGACAAGUGGAAGAUCAUCAGAGCAGAAGCACAAGGUUUCAGAAAAAGGACAGACACCCAUGGCUGGUAGAAGCUAGAACAGAGGCUCCAUUGUUGACUUGACCUCUUGGGAGGAGCGACUUACCCAUUCAUCCAGAUAUGGAUAACGCAAACCCUGACACAUCACUUGUGCUGCCACCACAGACAACUUUUUGUAAAAACUCUGGGUGCUAUUUCUAGCCCUAAGUGAAAGACUGUGAACUGGAAAUGUUCUUGGCCUAUCAAACCACGGCAACCUUCUGUGGGAGGGAUGAUUGUCUACAUGAAAGUAUGCAUCCUUCAUGUCAAAAGCUGCGAACAAAUUUCCCACCUGUAGGGAGGGAAUUACUGAUACUAACGUAACCAUGCUGAAUUUCAACUUUCAAAUAAAGAUGCUUAGUUGCCAAAUGUCCAG